AUACGGAGGAUGCGAGCGUUAUCCGGAUUUAUUGGGUUUAAAGGGUGCGCAGGCGGAUAGUUAAGUCAGCGGUGAAAUGUCCCGGCUCAACCGGGGAGCUGCCGUUGAUACUGGCUAACUUGAGUGCGGACGGCGCCGGCGGAAUGUGUCAUGUAGCGGUGAAAUGCUUAGAUAUGCCACAGAACACCGAUCGCGAAGGCAGCUGGCGAGGCCGUGACUGACGCUCAGGCACGAAAGCGUGGGGAGCAAACAGGAUUAGAUACCCUGGUAGUCCACGCAGUAAACGAUGAGGACUUGUUGUCGGCGAUAGAAUGUCGGUGACAAAGCGAAAGCGAUAAUUCCUCCGCCUGGGGAGUACGAUCGCAAGGUUGAAACUCAAAUGAAUUGACGGGG
rnacentral:rRNA from 1 species